UACAGAGGUCUCAACCGUUGUUCGGAUUCAUUGGGCGUAAAGGGUGCGUAGGCGGUCGCGUAAGUCAGGUGUGAAAUCUCAGGGCUCAACCCUGAAACUGCACUUGAUACUGCGUGGCUCGGGUACUGGGGAGGAGACUGGAAUUUACGGUGUAGCAGUGAAAUUCGUAGAUAUUCGCAAGAACACCAGUGGCGAAGGCGGCUCACUGGCCCGAUACUGACGCUGAGGCACGAAAGCGUGGGGAGCAAACAGG
rnacentral:rRNA from 1 species